rnacentral:rRNA from 1 species
UACAGAGGGUGCGAGCGUUAAUCGGAAUUACUGGGCGUAAAGCGUGCGUAGACGGUUACGUAAGUCGGAUGUGAAAUCCCCGGGCUCAACCUGGGAAUUGCAUUCGAGACUGUGUAGCUGGGGUGCGGAAGAGGGAAGCGGAAUUUCCGGUGUAGCGGUGAAAUGCGUAGAUAUCGGAAAGAACACCAACGGCGAAAGCAACUCUGCUGGGCCGACACUGACACUGAGAGACGAAAGCUAGGGGGAGCGAAUGGG